CCGCCGAAUCCCGCCAGAGACCUGACGCCGUCGCCGAAUUCCGCCAGAGACUCGCCGCAAAGGAGUGGUUCGGUCCAGUCCAGGAGUGUACUCUUGAUUUGUGAGGAAAAGAGGAAGAAGUCGUGCCGCGGUCAAUAAGAAAAAGGAUUGAGAAAAA